rfam:Schistosoma curassoni strain Dakar, Senegal genome assembly, scaffold: SCTD_scaffold0001661
GCACUACUGAUGAGUCUCAUACUCGGACGAAACGGCCGUCCAGUGC